GAUGAACGCUAGCUACAGGCUUAACACAUGCAAGUCGAGGGGCAGCAUGUCGGUUGCUUGCAACCGAUGAUGGCGACCGGCGCACGGGUGAGUAACGCGUAUCCAACCUGCCUCUUACCAGGGAAUAACCCGUCGAAAGGCGGACUAAUGCCCUAUGCCCUCCGCGGCAGACAUCUAAUGCGGAGGAAAGAUUCAUCGGUAAGUGAUGGGGAUGCGUCUGAUUAGCUUGUUGGCGGGGUAACGGCCCACCAAGGCAACGAUCAGUAGGGGUUCUGAGAGGAAGGUCCCCCACAUUGGAACUGAGACACGGUCCAAACUCCUACGGGAGGCAGCAGUGAGGAAUAUUGGUCAAUGGGCGGAAGCCUGAACCAGCCAAGUAGCGUGCAGGACGACUGCCCUAUGGGUUGUAAACUGCUUUUAUGCGGGGAUAAAUGACACUACGUGUAGUGUUUUGCAGGUACCGCAUGAAUAAGGACCGGCUAAUUCCGUGCCAGCAGCCACCGUAAUAC
rnacentral:rRNA from 1 species